AUUAACAGCUGACGUGAAGACAGGGAAACACAGGGCUUAUAAACAGAAGGAAAUCAAACGAGGAGAACUGAAACAGGGAGUGUCGACGUAAAAGAUGUGGGCGGUUGAAAAGAAGUGUCAUGUCAAAGUCACUCUUUUCACAAUCACACUGCAGUCUAUUCACAUGGAUGAAGUACAUUCACAGAUUUACACAGGGUUUACAUCUACGGCAAGUAGACAUGCUUCAAGAUGGCCUUGCAAAGAGCACAGCAACACUUUAUAUGAUGUCAACGAAACUGGAAAAGCACCGAAAGAAAAAGAGGCAGAAAGUAGGUGCAGUUAAUGUCGUUGUUCACAUUGUUCUGUAAGCACGUUUUGCUAUAAACGCAAGGUAAUGUAAUCUAAAUGUGCAAUGCACUUGACGAAAUGUGUAAAAUUUUGUAGAACCUGAAAGAGCUGACAUCAAUAUGUGCAUUGUAGU